GCUGAGGAAAAGUGUCCAGUGGAUUUA
rnacentral:sRNA from 1 species